rnacentral:rRNA from 1 species
AUACGGAGGGUGCGAGCGUUAAUCGGAAUUACUGGGCGUAAAGCGCACGUAGGCGGCUUGUUAAGCAAGAUGUGAAAGCCCAGGGCUCAACCUUGGAAUUGCAUUUUGAACUGGCAAGCUAGAGUUUUGAAGAGGGUGGUAGAAUUUCCAGUGUAGCGGUGAAAUGCGUAGAUAUUGGAAGGAAUACCAGUGGCGAAGGCGGCCACCUGGUCAAAAACUGACGCUGAGGAGCGAAAGCGUGGGGAGCAAACAGGAUUAGAUACCCUGGUAGUCCACGCAGUAAACGAUGAUAACUAACCGCUGGGUCGUAGUGAUUCAGUGGCCAAGCGAAAGCGAUAAGUUAUCCACCUGGGGAGUACGACCGCAAGGUUGAAACUCAAAUGAAUUGACGGGG